rnacentral:misc_RNA from 1 species
GCUUACCAAACCAAAUUAAAGAUCAUUAACGUUGUUUCAACAAAUACCAGAGAGAUUUUGAAAAAAAUGUGAAAGGAGGUAAUACAUGUGAAACCCUUUAAAAUGGGCUAACAAUGAAAACAUUAGUUUUGAACCUAACAGAUUUAACAUAUCACGGUGGAUAUAUAGCAUAAUGCACACAAGCUUACCAGGCAAAGACUGCUUUUGUGUUUACUGUUGCAAUUUCACUUUCAAUGCUUCAAUUACUGCAGAGAAGUCCUGGUCACUAAGUCCAUGAGAUUUCGCAACCUUGUAGAGUUCAUUAGUUGCUGCAGCAAUUGGAAUAGGUUGUGAAACAGAUUCCGCUAAACCCAGAGCUAGACGAAGGUCCUUUUGCUGAUGCUUCAGAGGAAACGCUGUUGGAUACGAAGAUUUAACCAUUGAAGGACCUUUAACGGCAUACAUUGGAGCACUAAUAGCACCCUGUGAGAUCACCUCCACUAAUACACUUGGAUCAAGCCCGACUUUCUCACUGAGAACUAAUCCUUCAGCAAAUGAGGCCAUCAUACUUCCCAUAACCAUAUUGACGACAAGUUUCAUUGCAGCUCCAUUACCAACUUCACCAAGGUAAAAUCUUGACUUCCCCAUGAUAUCCAAUAGAGGAGCAGCUUUAUCAUACAGCACGCUGUCACCUGCAGUGAGAAAUAUUAGCUGUCCAUCUUCUGCUGGCUUCUUGGACCCUGAUACUGGAGCCUCCAAAAAAUGAGCUCCAGUAGCUCUAAUAUGUUCACAGAUCAGUUUAGAUGUUUCCCCAUCAACUGUUGAGGCAUCUACAUAACCUUUUCCUGGACCCAUUCCUUUAGCAGCUCCAUAUUUUCCACAAGCAACAUCCGCUGCACUCUCAGGGUCCGCAAGCAUGGCAAAUGUGACAUCACAAGAUGCUGCAACCUCCUCAGGAGAGGACUUGUAUUUUGCACCCAAGGAGAUAAGGGGUUCACAUUU